GAUGAACGCUGACCGAAUGCUUAACACAUGCAAGUCAUUGGCGAAGCUGCGCUUGCGCAGUCUAGCCAAGGCGGACGGGUGAGUAACGCGUAAGGAACUUGCCCUGCAGACAGGGAUAACAGACGGAAACGACUGAUAACACCUGGUAUUGUCAGGCUGGCGCAUGCCGGCCUGAUGAAAGGAGACGCUGCAGGAGAGCCUUGCGUCCUAUUAGCUAGUUGGUGGGGUAACGGCCCACCAAGGCGAUGAUAGGUAGCCGGCCUGAGAGGGUGAACGGCCACAAGGGGACUGAGAUACGGCCCUUACUCCUACGGGAGGCAGCAGUGGGGAAUAGUGGACAAUGGGGGCAACCCUGAUCCAGCAAUUCUGUGUGCACGAAGAAGGUUUUCGGAUUGUAAAGUGCUUUCAGCAGGGAAGAAGAAAGUGACGGUACCUGCAGAAGAAGCGACGGCUAAAUACGUG
rnacentral:rRNA from 1 species